UUAAAAAGCUCGUAGUUGGAUUUCUGGGAGGGUGCCAAUGUCCGCCGACGUGCGUGCGCAGCGGCGCCCUUCCAUCCUUCUGUUAACGCCUCUUGGCAUUCAUUUGCUGGUGGCGGGCUCAGAUAUUUUACCUUGAGAAAAUUAGAGUGUUUCAGGCAGGCUAGGCCGGAAUACAUUAGCAUGGAAUAAUGGAAUAGGACUACGGUCUCUUUGUUGGUUUGAGGGACUGCAGUAAUGAUUAAUAGGGAUAGUUGGGGGCAUUAGUAUUUAAUUGUCAGAGGUGGAAUUCUCGGAUUUGUUAAAGACUAACUUAUGCGAAAGCAUUUGCCAAGGAUGUUUUCAUUAAUCAAGAACGAAAGUUAGGGGAUCAAAGACGAUC
rnacentral:rRNA from 1 species